AAAAGUUCAAUUCUGGCUUUAUGAUUAAGUAGUUUCAUUUAUGUUAUAUAUGUAUAUUUAAAGAAUUUAAUUUAGAGAGUUAAAUUAAUAGGUGUAGUAAUUAAUUUUAGUAAUUAAUAAGUUUAGAUCUAGGAAUGAAAUUAAAUAUUGACUAAAUUUGUGCCAGCAGUUGCGGUUACACAAAUAAUAUGGCUUAAUUUGAUCAGUUUUAAUUAGUUUAAAUAAUUUUUUAAGUUUUAAAUUAGAUUUAUUAGGUGAAAUUUUAAAUUUAUUUAUAAUUUAUUUUUGUUAGCGAAGUUAAGAAAUUUAUUAAUAAACUAGGAUUAGAUACCCUAUUAUUUUAAAUGUAAUUAAUUUAGUGCUGAAUAAUUAAUAGUUAUGAUCUUUAAAAUUAAAGAAUCUGGCGGUAUUUUAGUCUAUUUAGAGGAACCUGUCCUAUAAUUGAUAUUCCACGAUUUAUUUUACUUAUUUUAAUUAGUUUAUAUAUCGUCGUAAUUUGAAUAUUUUUAAAAAAAUAAAAUGUUCAGGAGGUUAUUUAGACAAUAAAUCAGAUCAAGAUGUAGUUUAUAAAUAAGUAGAGAUGGGUUACAUUGACAGUAGUGUUGGAUUAGUUAAUGAAAAUAAUUAUGAAAAUGGAUUUAAAAGUAAUUUAAUUUAAUUUAAUUAAAUGAGUUAGCUCUAAAAUAUGUACAUAUUGCCCGUCGCUUUCACUUUAAAGUGGAAUAAGUCGUAACAAAGUAGGCGUACUGGAAAGUGUGCCUAGAGAGAGA
rnacentral:ncRNA from 1 species